AUUCUUUUGCAGUGGCGAUAUCAUAGCCUAUGAAGUCCAUCUGAGGCGUGAUUAUUUGCUGGUUGAAAACUUAACCCAAUACCACGCUUGGGGCGACUUGAAAUAUAGUCUUCCCUGGCAAUUUUUGAUAGUCUUAAGUGAGA
rnacentral:snRNA from 8 species